AGUGAACGCUGGCGGUAGGCCUAACACAUGCAAGUCGAACGGCAGCACAGUAAGAGCUUGCUCUUACGGGUGGCGAGUGGCGGACGGGUGAGGAAUACAUCGGAAUCUACUUUUUCGUGGGGGAUAACGUAGGGAAACUUACGCUAAUACCGCAUACGACCUACGGGUGAAAGCAGGGGAUCUUCGGACCUUGCGCGAUUGAAUGAGCCGAUGUCGGAUUAGCUAGUUGGCGGGGUAAAGGCCCACCAAGGCGACGAUCCGUAGCUGGUCUGAGAGGAUGAUCAGCCACACUGGAACUGAGACACGGUCCAGACUCCUACGGGAGGCAGCAGUGGGGAAUAUUGGACAACGGGCGCAAGCCUGAUCCAGCCAUACCGCGUGGGUGAAGAAGGCCUUCGGGUUGUAAAGCCCUUUUGUUGGGAAAGAAAAGCAGCAGGUUAAUACCCCGCUGCUCUGACGGUACCCAAAGAAUAAGCACCGGCUAACUUCGUG
rnacentral:rRNA from 1 species